rnacentral:lncRNA from 1 species
CUCGCCUGAAAACCCUCUCUGCAUCAUUAUUUUUGCUUGCACUGUCCAGACUGAAAUUUGUGCAGAGCUCCCAGAAGAAAUACCGCUGAAUUCAGAAGUAGUCUAUUUAAGCUGCGUGGUGUUUAAAAAUUGCUGGAAGAGGUUAAGGUACAGUAUAUUAUGCAGUUGACCUUACUAAGAAGCUAUGUUAACAAUUUAGACUUAUAAUUUUGUUAAAAUAUUUCUUUUUUUUUUUUUAAAAAAAAGCAAAAUUCAUUAUCUCUUCUGGCACCCCUGCAGGUUAAACCUUUUGAUUUCUCUCUAACUUAUUUUGUAAGAUUUCUAAAUUGUAUUUAAACUUCUUGUACUUAAAAGGUUGUUUUGCUAGUGUCUCUUUGAAAAGAGGAAUUUUUUUGCCUCUGUCUCUCCCUUUGUACCUGGUCUGCAGAGG